rfam:Myotis brandtii contig196783, whole genome shotgun sequence.
GGCAGUUCUCGGGUGAUGCAUCCCAGAAUCGGGCUCCCUCCUCUCUGGUUCUGGGUUGCAUCACCCGAAAACCGCC